rnacentral:lncRNA from 1 species
CAGAAUAUCUUCAUAAACAAGGACAUCUCUGAGCAUGCAAAGGAAAUAAAGGAAGAUCUGAAAGACAGCAGAAAAAGAUGAAGCUGCCAUUGGUCAAAUUGUCUACAAUGGCCUUGAUGGAAGAGUGAGAUAUAGCAGAGUAGUAAGACAGACAAGUUCUUGAGGAAGAAGUACAUGAGACUAUGGAGAUGCUGGUCUGGGGUAGAUACUAUAAUGUGUAUUCUUUUGAUGUUUGUCGUGUUAUUCUUGGCUACUCAUCACCAACCUGAUGGUCUUCCUGAGGAAAAAACAAAGUAAAGUCGUCUUUCAUGCUGAAGGGGGAAAAACGUAGAACUUAUCUAUGCAUCCACCAAGCAGCUGGCCACUUUGGUCCUGAAGACACCAAGAUCUGUUAGAGUGCUGAGCUCAGUUGUCAGCUUCACCACAAAGUAACUGUCACUGACAAGACCCAAUUUAUCCAAAGGUUCUGUAAAAGGAGACCCUAUCACGAUGCCACAACAUGAACCCCUUGAAGUUCAUUUAUACAAUCUUCAACUUACACAUACCUGUUGGUCAUUAGGAUAAAAU